rnacentral:lncRNA from 1 species
GUGAACUGUGAUCAACAGGCAGAGUCAACACAGGGGCCUCUCUCUGGACUGGAGAAGGUAAACAAGCCCAGUUUGAACCUUGUACUUUCCUGGGAGGCAAAUGGGAGGCAGCAUAGAAAGCGGCAACAAACAGAACCAAAGAUCGCUGAAAUCCCAUCAAAAAGUAACACCAACAUACACACACAGACACGAGGAGGGGGGAAGGAGGAGGGGAGGAAAGAUGUAGGAAGCAGACAAGAGCUGUCCUUACCCAGCAUUAAGGCUGCGUUUUUCUUUGAAUCGGAGGCGCGGGGGGGGGAGGAGGGAAGGGGGACGGCUAGCUGGAAAAGGCCUGGGUCGGCGUUGGAACUUGCUGCUAAUAAUACCCUCUUAGUUUCUGUUCCUGCUAUAGCCGGGCUAAUUGAAAUGGAAGAGAUCCUAGCUUCUUGCAGGGGAGGACUCUACGGGCCUACGGAUCCGUGUGGCGUUGGGGAAGUCCAGAUUGCGUCUCCCGUGUGGGCCAGAAGCAGCACACCGGCCCCCCAGUCAACAGCUAUGGU